GGGAGCGAGGGGCCCCCGGGCGAGCGGUACUGCUCGGGUUCAAGCGGUGGCAGGCGUUGUUUUCCUCGGAAAGCGGAGGAGGAAAUCUCCGGCUUUUUAAUGAGGGGGUGCAGCAGGGCUGAGCGUUGGGAUUACACAGUGCGGAGACAGAGCUGCGGGCUGUGUGUGCGCGCAGGGCUGGUAGUCUCCGCCCGUCUGCCUCCUAAUCGCACGUUUUCCGCUGUUAAAAAGAAACCGAGACGCUGUGGCCGAACCCAGCGCUGUCUCUGUGACUGUGACAUGAAAAGAUGGCGCUCUCUCCCCUCCCCCAGCCUCCCUCUCGGCUUACACUUCCUCCCCAACAGCUUUUGCCUUCCAGUUUUUUUAAGCCGUCUUUUCUCCGCUCCUUCCCCCCCGCUCUCCCGGCCGGAUACCACCAGCUUCCCGGCCGACCGUGUCUGUUACGUUAAUUGCACUUAGCGCUGGGGCGCCGUUCGUCAGGGAUACAUGAAGGCCUCGGAGAUUAACCGCAGGCUCCUGCUCGGACUUUUUUCAACUAACAGUGAGUUGCGAGAAGCUGCUGAGGACCUUGCACGAUACCGUCGUGUGCUUUCGGUGCGUGCUGCAGCCGGCGGGCCACUCUGAGUCCGGGGCCAGAGCUGUGAGGUCAGAAUGGCAGCACCUCCCUGUGUGCCCGCACAUCUAUUUGCGUAAGGAUUUGCAUUGCGGGAGGACAGGUAUUUUUCCUCCCCGUGGAUGGUAGAAAUGCAAAAUUAGCGCGACUGUUUCCAGGCAGAGACUCCGCGAUUACAUGAUCUCGCUGAACCUGUCGGUUGUGCUUUCUGGAGCAGCAGGGAAACCGGACACCUUUAUCAAUUACUACUGAAGGCGUUCUCCCAGGCGCUUGGCCGUUUUUAUCACCAUCUAACCCUCAGGUCACCCACGAAUGCCUGGUGGCAGCCCUUGCCCUACCCGGGGAUGUCCGUGUGGCCUCCAGCAUCUCUCGGAAUUUCAUGGCCUCACCGGGAAGGAGUGGGCAUGUGUGGCCUUCGCAGACUAGGACUUUCUCCAACGCCUACUUCAUCUAUUUGUUAUCAGGGGACGGCGUGUGGAGUGACUGAGCCUAAUAAGUUGUCCACUUGUUCAUUUCAGGAGCAUUGAUUUCUGGUUCCAAGGCACUCUGUUCUACCACUGGCUACAGCUGCGGGGCAUUUCGCAGCUGGUCUUUCGCCUAGACAAAUAUCAGCGAGAAUGUGAGCGUUAUUAGCCCCAUAAAUAAAUCAUUAACUUGCACACAAA